ensembl:lncRNA
CACACACACACACACACACACACACACACACACACACACACACACACACACACAGUGUACUACACAUUUCACAAGGUGCCACAUACACUCUCAAACACACACACACACACACACACACACACACACACACACACACACACACACACUGUACUACACAUUUCACAAGGUGCCACACACACAGUGUACUACACAUUUCACAAGAUGCCACAUACAGUCUCACACACACAGACUCACACAAACGCACACACACACCCUCUCACAAACACACACUCACACACAGACACACUCUCUCUCAUAAGCACUCACACACACGCUGUCCCACACAAACACAUUAUCACACACACACACACACACACUCACAAACAAACACACUCACAUAUACAGACUCUCUCACACACACACACACACACGCUCUCACACCUUCAUUCAGUCAUUGAGACA